rnacentral:rRNA from 1 species
CGUAGGUGGCAAGCGUUGUCCGGAUUUAUUGGGUUUAAAGGGUGCGUAGGCGGUCCUAUAAGUCAGUUGUGAAAUACGGCAGCUUAACUGUCGAGGUGCAAUUGAUGCUGCAGGACUUGAGUACAGACGAGGUAGGCGGAAUUGACGGUGUAGCGGUGAAAUGCUUAGAUAUCGUCAAGAACACCGAUAGCGAAGGCAGCUUACUAGACUGUAACUGACGCUGAUGCACGAAAGUGUGGGGAUCAAACAGGAUUAGAUACCCUGGUAGUCCACACUGUAAACGAUGAUUACUCGAUGUUGGCGAUACACAGCCAGCGUCUUAGCAAAGCGAUAAGUAAUCCACCUGGGGAGUACGCCGGCAACGGUG